UACGUAGGGUGCGAGCGUUAAUCGGAAUUACUGGGCGUAAAGAGUGCGCAGGUGGCCGCGCAAGUCGGGUGUGAAAUCCCCGAGCUUAACUUGGGAAUUGCGCUCGAAACUACGUGGCUCGAGUGUGGCAGAGGAAGGUGGAAUUCCACGUGUAGCGGUGAAAUGCGUAGAGAUGUGGAGGAACACCGAUGGCGAAGGCAGCCUUCUGGGCCAACACUGACGCUCAUGCGCGAAAGCGUGGGGAGCAAACAGG
rnacentral:rRNA from 1 species